ACUUCAUUUUGUCUGUUGGGAGUUGAAGUUGAAGCUCCUUUUCUACACAGACCUGCUGAGGACAGAAUAGAUCUGCACACUGAUGAAGUUCAUGGCUGAAAGUUCAGUUUUUCUGUGUUAAAAAGGAGCUGAGCAGGAGAGACGACAUUUUAAAACCUGUUUCCUUGUGUGCUUCGAGUCUUCGCUGGAAAAAACAACUCAAGUCCAAAUUAAAGUCUAAAGAUGAAGGUGUGGACUCUGCUAUGAGUCAGUGUGAGGACAGAGAGGAGGGAGUCCCUCCCUCUAAAACCACUCUGUGCGGGAACAUGACAGCCAGACCAAAGCUCAGAGCCCAGAGAAGCAGCCCAGACCUGGACCUGGACCUGGAUCUGGACCUUUCAUUAAUUUAAAACAACAUGACAAAAAGAUCCAUCAGAGACCAGACUGUCCUGAACCUGAACCCAGCUGUGUGUCCAUGAAGAGUGACCACUCUAUGCCUUGUUAUGUAGUCUUCAAAGAUGGAUGCCACUCUGAUGAUCAAAGGUGAGCAGAAGUUAAAUGUUAAAUUACACUUCAUUCAAGUCAUUUAUUUUGCAGUUACUGUAUACCUGUCUACUACCAACAUAAUAUAUAUUUUAACUUAACUGCAAUAUAUACUGCUUCACUGUAAUUGUGCAUUUGACAAAUAACUUUAAAGUGAUGGUUCAGAGUAAUUUCACCCUAGGGUCCUUUGCACCAUGACCUCGA